rnacentral:rRNA from 1 species
CCCUUAGAUGUCCGGGGCCGCACGCGCGCUACACUGAAGGAAUCAGCGUGGCUUUCUCCCUGACCCGAAAGGGUUGGGAAACCCGUUGAAUCUCCUUCGUGAUAGGGAUUGGGGCUUGAAAUUGUUCCCCAUGAACGAGGAAUUCCCAGUAAGCGCGAGUCAUAAGCUCGCGUUGAUUACGUCCCUGCCCUUUGUACACACCGCCCGUCGCUACUACCGAUUGAACGGUUUAUUGAGGGCCUCGGAUUGGUCUCGGCCCGCUCUUUACCGGGCGGCGCCGUUGGUCGAGAAGACGCUCGAACUUGAUCGUUUAGAGGAAGUAAAAGUCGUAACA